rnacentral:lncRNA from 1 species
UUAUAAUUAUUAUUAUUAUUAAUUAAAAUUGUGUUUAAGAAAGUUUUUAUUUUUGAACACAAAAAUUAAAAAUUCCUAUGCUAUAAACAGAGAACAGAAUUGUUUAUUGAAGAAUGGGAAAUGAGUAGAAAUCUAGACUUUCUGCCAUGAUUGCUUUCUGCAUGUCAUGACCACCAUAUGCCAAAAGCAAUAUUGCUUUUUUUUAUCCAAUUCCCUUACUUUUUGACUUCAUCUUUGUUUCUUAUUCAUGUAUUUCUUGCUGCCUUUCUUCUAAAUAUAAACAGAAUACUUAGAAAUUCUUCCUUUGCCAGGGAUGAUAAACUUAUGGCAUACAUGCCCAAAAAUGGCAUGUUGACAAAUUUUUUGGCCAUGCAAAACUUGGAGUUGAUAUAUUAUUUUUAA